rnacentral:lncRNA from 1 species
CCAUUCCUCUCUCAGAUAAUCUACAUUGUCUCCCAUGAGGCAAUCAGGAUUGCCAAGAUAAUCUAAAUUACCACUCAAAAAAUGUGCCAAACGUAGUAACCCAAAUUACCAUAUUAAAUUGCUAACAAUCUGGAUAGAUUGCUGGCUACUAAAUGCAACCUUAGGGAUGGCAAUCGAUCGGAUUGGGCAAUCCAGCAACUGAAAAUCCUACACAC